rnacentral:rRNA from 1 species
UACGUAGGGUGCAAGCGUUACUCGGAAUUACUGGGCGUAAAGCGUGCGCAGGCGGCUAUGCAAGUCAGAUGUGAAAUCCCCGGGCUCAACCUGGGAACUGCAUUUGUGACUGCAUGGCUAGAGUACGGUAGAGGGGGAUGGAAUUCCGCGUGUAGCAGUGAAAUGCGCAGAUAUCCGGAGGAACACCGGUGGCGAAGGCGGCUUCCUGGACCGGUUCUGACGCUGAGGCGCGAAAGCGUGGGGAGCAAACAGG